GUGCUGGCGGUUACACCCCGAAACUCGGAGCCCGAGUCCACAUCCCACCUGGGCAACGGCGCUUUUUGAAACCGGAGGGACUUCUGGGCCAGAAACAGGAGAAAAUCUGCAGACGCUGGAAAUCCAAAACAACACACACGAAAUCCUGGAGGAACUCAGCAGGCCCGGCAGCACCUACGGAAAAAAGAAUAAACACUCGACGUUUCGGACCGAGACCCUUCAUCAGGACACAGGGGGCGUGUCCCUUUUUAUUUUCGGUUCCGAGGGUCUCGGCCAUCGAUGCCGUCAGGCAUUCUGAGUUCCUCCAGCGCUUUGUGUGUGUGUUGCUUCUGGGCCAGUCUUGUUAGUCUAUUUGACUCCAGACAUGGCACUGUGAUUGUGCAGAGGCUGUACAACCUGAAGACACAAGAGCAUCUGGUAGUUUCAGGUCGGCCAGGAAAAGGGUCUAAACCUGAAAUACUAACUUCAUUUCUCUCCAUCGAGGGACCUCUUAAGUUCCAUCAGCAAUUGCUCAUAGGAAGAGGAAAGUCCAAGAACAUCCUUAUCCUCAAUGAUGGCUUAGCUCAGCAUGCAAGUGUUAAAGAUGCUCUGAAGUAUUUACCAUGUCUGGUCAGAAGUGCCAAUUGGUGAUCUAUCUAUCUCAGCUCCCUAUCAUAACAGAAGCCAAUUUCCAGCAAAUUUGGUUCAUUCCAUGUGACUUCAAGAAAUAACUGAGAGCACUGGUGUAGAGCAAGUCAAAUGUAUGUUGGUAAACACAAAGUACACUGCAGAUGCUGUGGUCAAAUGUGUGUCGUCGAGCACCUCCGCUCUGUCCGCCACUGCAGAAAGAUCUCCCAGUUGCCACUCACUUCAACUGUGCUUCACAUUCCCAUUCGAAUAUGUCUAUACAUGGCCUCCUCUACUGCCAUGAUGAGGCCAAACUCCGGUUGGAGGAGCAACACCUCAUAUACCAUCUGGGUAGUCUCCAGCCCCUUGGAAUGAACAUUGAAUUCUCCAACUUCCGGUAAUUCCCUCCCUCUCCCUUCCUCCAUCCCACUUUCACUUUCACUUUCACUCUGCUUCCUCUUCUAGCUGCCUAUCACCUCUCAUGAUUCUGCCUUCUUCUACUACCCAUAGUGCUUUCCCCUUACAUUUCUUCUUCACCGCUCCUGCCUAUCCCCUCCCUGCUUCCGCUCCCCCACCCCUUGAUCUUUCCUUUGAUUGGUUUUUCACCCUCCCCCCACCUUCUUUAUAGGGCCCCUGCCCCCUCCUUUAGUCCUGACGAAGGGUCUCAGCUUGAAACGUUGACUGCUCAUUUCAACGAAUGCUGCCCGACCUGCUGAGUUCAUCCAGCUUGUUUGUACGUGUUUAAAUGUAUAUUGGAAUACUCUUAUUUACCUAUGAGGUGCAGCACCAACAAGGGACUAAGAAUGAUACCAUCCAGAGCAAAGCAGCUUACUUUAUUGUUUCUUGAUCCACCACCAUAAUCCCUUCCCUUCUGCAAAAUAAAUAAAUAAAAUGUUUUAAGAUGCAGGUGAAGAAGCUAAAGGUAGAAGAGAAUAAAAGGGGAGGUAAGCAAUUGUGUGACAGGCAGAGAAAUUAAUUGUCAAAAGGAUUGACCGUACAAAGUGAAUGAAGAAGGUGAUAGAAAAUAACAAUCUUAAUCGGUGUAACUGCUGUAAUUUUAAAUUAAAUUAGUAAAGGAAAGAAGUGUGUUCAGGGAAGCAGAAAAGAAUCUUGCAAAUAUCUAAAAUUUGAGUUAUUUCAAGAGAUAUUGUGGUGAAUAUUAUUCAAAUUAAUUACUUAAAGAUACUUAAUGCAACAAAAUGAAUGGUACUUAAGAGAAUGCAAUGUGAUGAUCGGUUUAAAAAAUUAUUAGUAUUUAGAUAUUUGGGUUAAUGGAAUGCAUAUCAAAAGUGUCCUCAAGUGUUUAGAUAAUUGUUCUUAUAAAGUGGAACCAAAUGAAACAUUUCUAAGUUUGCCAGCAGUGUGAAACCAGGUGUUAUUGUAAAGUUGCGAGGAGGAUCCAACAAAGUUACGAGGUGUAUCAGACGAAGUUGAGUUAAGUGGGGAAAAAUAUUGAAGGCACAGUAUAAUGUGUAUAAAUGUGAAUACAUUCUCUGUAGUAGGAAAAGCAGAUUGGCUGAGUAUUAUUUUAAUUCUAAUAAUUGAUAUAAGGGACAAUUCAAUGUGUAACUCACGCUUCAGCUAGUGGCUUAAUACAGGGGAUGAUAGCCCCUGGCCCGGCCAAACUUAAGGAAUCUCGUUUGGGUGGAGGCUGCACGAUGUGUCCCCUGUCACAAAUCAAUACCACAAAACAACAAACAGUACACAAUACGUGAUUAAACGAUUAAGUUUUAUAAUUCUUAAUUUGACUAUAUGGUUAGUAAGAAAACAUAAAAGAAAAAAGGGCCUAUUCUCAUGAAGCAAUCUGUUGCGCAAGGUUGGAGCUCACUGAUAAGGCCGUUCGUCCACCAUCGACCUCUGCCAAUCGUCGCUGACUUUCGGACCCUCGCUCCAAGUCCACUCCGUCUGGUGGUCUACCAACUCUCUCCACUCGCGUCUUUUCUCCUUAACUCUCCCCGGCAAAAAAAACGCAAAUUCCCGGCUCCCAGACACACAAGAAAGAAUAACAUCCUGCUCAUUGGCUAGGUUGCGCUGUUAUCUCUCAUCAUAACCCAAACAUUGGUGCUACAGAGAAACCAUUACCUCAGCAGUGGAACAUUACAGAGAAACCAUUACAUUAGCAGUGAAACCUUACAGCGUGUUACAAAUGAAAGUAAAUAUACAACCAUACCAAACAGUUAAGGAAGCUAGUAAUACAUAAAGGUUCUGCGUACAGGAACAAGGAUGUUCUGCUGCAGUUAUACCAGAGCUUUAGGGAUACUAUACCAGGAGCAUUGUGGGCAGUCUUGGUCUUGUUACCCAAAAAAGAAAAUGUCUGCCAGAGAGGGAAUGCAGGAGAGUUCACCAGCAUUCAUUUCACAGUGGCAGUGUUAAAAUUAUUUGGUGUACUAUGCUUGUAAUGUGUUUGAUCAGCAUUGUGCGUUUCGGAGUAGACCAUGAUUACCUGCAGAGCUUCCCAGACCCACCAAGAAAGGCAAGGCUACCAGGCUUUUGGGAAUUGCACCACCUGUAGGUUGAAAAAUCAAACUACAGUUGCUGGCAAUCUGGAAACUGAUAAUGCUGCAAACUUUCUGCAGGAGACAAAAGUGUGAACUUACUUUCUCGUUUUCUCAUUUUUGACCCAGGCUAUUUAACCUAAAAUGUUAAUUAUUUCCACAAACGCUGCCUGUCUUGAAUUGUUCCAGCAGUUUCUAUAUUUAUACCACUUGCAGGUUCUCUUCCAAAUCUCUCGCAUUUCUGACAGUGUUCCUUUGAAAUCUUGGAACUUCCUACUUGUUAGCUUUUGGAUAUACCUUCAGAAGGAUAAAUCAUUUCAGCAAGAAUCUCACUACCAAUAUCCAUAUCCUAAAAAAUUAAUGAGCUAAAAAUAAAGGUCAGAUGGGAGCUAAUUAAAUGAUCAUUGAUCCCAAAAUGUUAACUGUCUUGCUUUCUCUACAGAUGUGGCAAAACCUGCCAAGUAGUUCUAGUACCUUCUAACUUAUAUUUUGUUAAGAAAAAGUUAGUUUCUGGUUCUGAAAUGGAAUCUCCAUUGAAAGGCUGAAAGUAAUUGAAUAUGGGUGUGGGAUUUAAAAAUGGAACAGUUGUUUCAAAUCAAAUGCAAUCUUUAAUUCAUGACCAUACAUGGACAAAACAUCCCACAUGAAUUUAGUAUUUUGGCAGAGUAAGGUAUUUUUAUUCAGUAUUUUUAAAUCAUUAAUGAUAACAGUAGAUAUUGUCCCUGCAUUUGAUCGUUCUAAUUAUGGUCUUUAGUAUUUGGACUUGCCUCUUUUCCCUUGUAAUGCAUAUUAACCACCACCUGGUCUUCCUCAUUGUCUAUUGCUUUUCCUUUUCUUGCUGGGAUACAUAGCCCUGUGACUUUACUGUUUUUUAAAUCGCAAGUGAGUACAUACAGCAAUACAAAAGUCCUCCUUACUCCAAAGUGUUGUUUACAUCUAUCCAAGACACCUGAACCACGACACCAGUGGAAUGGUAAGUUCUGUAACCUUUGCACUUCAACCCUGACAUGCUGCACAUUGGUAUCAUAAAUGCUGCGGAACAUUCUGAAAAUGUGCAUCCACCACUUCACCCCUGGAGAUGAACUGUUUCAUGGUCGCCAAUUGUCAUUAUCUGAUUGUCACUGUUUUUUUGUUAGGAAGAAGCAAGCACGGAACAGUAAGUUCAUUUAUAGUACAGCAGUGGUAGUGCUGUAACUUGUUUGACCUUGAGUAAUGUAUCAAUUAUGCAAAUAAACUUUGAAACCAGU